rnacentral:rRNA from 1 species
UACGUAGGUGGCAAGCGUUGUCCGGAUUUACUGGGCGUAAAGAGCGCGCAGGCGGUCGUUCAAGUCGCGUGUGAAAGCCCCCGGCUCAACUGGGGAGGGUCACGCGAUACUGAUCGACUGGAAGGCAGGAGAGGGUAGUGGAAUUCCCGGUGUAGUGGUGAAAUGCGUAGAUAUCGGGAGGAACACCAGUGGCGAAGGCGACUACCUGGCCUGUUCUUGACGCUGAUGCGCGAAAGCGUGGGGAGCAAACA